GUCGGUCAGGCCCGUGCAGCGACGACUGUUCACGCGUUCCUCUUCAGAGGUAGGCACAAGCGCGCUCUUGCCUUGGCCGAAAGUUGGAUUUCCUGUGUUGGAUACCUAAGUGACGGCAUUUUUUUGUGGGAAAAGGAACGGUCGCCCCAUGCCUGUGUGGCUGCGGGCGAUCCAGGAAGGGAGAUUCGCGAUCCUCGAUGCACUCGCGGUGUCGAGGCCCGCGCUUCUUCGCUCGGACUGAGGGAUUCGGAAUAUGCCGUGGUCGACGGGCCUUGCUCGCUCGACGCACCGAUCGAAAGUAUCCGAACGAACGACGCUCGACGGCGCGCUGGCCCCCGGGCCACGCGCCUCGGCGUCCGCGAGGAAUGCUACCU
rnacentral:misc_RNA from 1 species